GGGGAAGCCAGCCGACAGCUGUGAGCAGAAGUCACUGCCGGGCCUGCAGGGAGUCCCUAGCUGCCAUCUUGUGCCGUUAAUGUGAGGAACUGGCUGGGUUUCCAUCCUGGACUGGAGUGGACCUGAUGGCAGCCAAGAAACCACAGCUUGGACUCAGCUACAAUCAACAGCCUUUUGUCCUACUGGUCUGGUAGGAAGGCUCGCAGCCUGUCCUCCCCUCCAUGCACCUCACUACACUUAU